rnacentral:rRNA from 1 species
UACGUAGGGUGCAAGCGUUAUCCGGAAUUAUUGGGCGUAAAGGGCUCGUAGGCGGUCUGUUGCGUCGGGAGUGAAAACUCAGGGCUUAACCCUGAGCCUGCUUCCGAUACGGGCAGACUAGAGGUAUGCAGGGGAGAACGGAAUUCCUGGUGUAGCGGUGAAAUGCGCAGAUAUCAGGAGGAACACCGGUGGCGAAGGCGGUUCUCUGGGCAUUACCUGACGCUGAGGAGCGAAAGCGUGGGUAGCAAACAGG